CAUAGAUUGCCAGAUAAGGGUGCAUGCAGUCCAUUGGGGCUGUCUGCUUAAUAGGGAAGUGCGGUUGAAAGCCGACGCGGUCCCACCACUGUAAAUGAAGAGCGACUCUUCACAGAAGCCACUGUCCCGCUCGCGGGAUUGGGAAGGCGAAGAGAAGCGAUGACGCAUGAGCCAGGAGACCUGCCUUUAUCUAGGAUGUUUC
rnacentral:ncRNA from 2 species